rnacentral:lncRNA from 1 species
AUGGGGUCUGAACUGGAGAGGGGAAAACGUCCACCACAGAAUACUGGAAAUGCAACCCAAGUGCAGAAUACUACCCCCAACACUCACAUCUUGGGAAGUGUGAACACCCAAACAGUUGGCUUGUUUAACUCUCCCUCAAAUGCCUGCUGCUUCUGUUGGUGUUGCUGCUGCAGCUGUUCUUGUUUGACAGUACGCUCUGCUAAGGAGGAAAGAAUUCUGACGACGAUCUACCGAAAAAGAAGAGGACAUUGAUACCAACCAAAUGUAAGUUGUUUAUAAUGUAUUAACUUAAUAAUGAUGAUGAAUAAUAAAUGUAUUUUACUUUUAAGUAAUUUUCCUCUUAGGUAAUUUUGAAGUGGGGUCAUGACAUGUCCUUUUUUAUUAUUGUAAUAAGGUUUCUUGUAUUUUUUUUUUUUUUUUUUUUCAACCCACAUUCUUCCUAGUCGUUGGAAUUUUUAUUUACUCCAGUGACUGGAGUCUCUUGAAUCCGUUUACCAAAAAUGUUUUUUCAAGACUCCUUCUCUAAUUUGUUCAGUGACCAUAAUACAUAUUGGUGCCAGUAGGUAGAGACAAAUGAAUGUUAUGUAAUAAUAUAUAUGAUGAUUAGUUAUAUAAUAAACUAUUAUUAUAAUCAAUAUUACCUCACAUCACAACAACAACAAAACAGGUUGACAAAUAUAUAUGCUGUGAUACCUUUCUAAUAACUAAGAGUGACAUUUAAGCUUACAUAAAUUAAAUGAAACUCAUAACUUAUCUUUAUUAAGAAAAAAAAGGGCUCAGGCCGGUGCAGGCAAACAUUAAACCUCAAUAAAAUGGUUUCCUUCCAUUUGGUUGUACAUUUUCAAGCAAGAUCCAAGAUCCUGAACUAACUGGGCCUUCCAUUUGUGAAGCAUUGAGCACCUUUGGUUCAUAAAAACAUUGCGCAGCGAUUAUAAAGAUAUUACACAGGUUGCUGUAGAAGCGUCUAAAGUCAGAGCAUGUUUAAAUGCAGCCAGUACACUGAGCAUUGUUUGCAGAGCUUUGUGGUACUUGGAGAGAAUGGAUUUUGCAGCCCAGUUUUUCCCAUCUGUUUUUGAUUCCUUUUGCAACUUCAAACUCUGCAUCAACCAUGGGCAUCGGAAGCAAAAUAAAUGUGGGUGGGGUCCUCCCCCAGAAAAAAAAUACUAGAGUAUAUGCUAUUUUCUUUAGUCCGGUGCCUGUUAAUUAACAGAGUGUCUAUUUACACAAAGUGCAAAUAGGCCGCCUAAUUUGCAGGGGCUAUUAACAUCACUUCCGCCCACUAACAUCACAACAUUACAAAAAAUGGCUGCUUAAUAACAUUUCCAAUGGCGUAAGCUGGUAGCAUAGUGUUUUUGACACGAGCGACCCAAGUUCGCAUCUGCCUUUUGCCGAAAUCGUUCUUCUCCCUUUUCACAUCUCAUAUCACAUCGGAAGGCAUUUGUUUUCAACAAAAACAAAAAUCGAGGAAAUAAUCGAAAAGUUGAAAUAAAGUAUUGGGUAGAGUUAGGUGUAUCUGAGCAACAGAUUCGCUAAGAUGCUUUGUUUACUUUGCUGUGUCGCAGGAGUGCAUCAGGCACAAGUAACGUAAAACACGGACUGGAUGGGUGCUGUCCUACCCACAUACAAUGGUUCAGACACCCAUGGCAUCAACAAUAGGUUAUUUUGUCAGGUCUAUGAUGUGUUUCGCUGUCUUGGGAUCCAGAAAUGAAUCACUCUUCGGAUCAAGCUUAGCCAGUGCAUAGUACAAAUGUGAGAUCCGUUCAACAAAUCUCUGAUCCAUUUUUCCAACCACUGAAUCCACAGUAUCCAGAACAGUCUCUUGAGUUCUGUUUCUAUGCCAUCCUCUAUUUUAACCAUCAUUUCUUACACCAAGUAAUCAUCCAUUUUCUUGUUUCCCAUGCUUCACUUUGGGGUUAUGGAUUUUGGCAGUGCAUUGGCAGCAAUCUAGCUUUCUGCCACACUUUUGUUUUCUGCACACAUUCUUUUGCACUUGUCAAAAUGCCCAAACCUGUCCAAAGGUCAGUGUCCUCACUCUGUAUUUGGUGGAUCCAGUAAUUCAAGCACUUUGUGCACAAGGUUUGCAAUGACUAAGAAGCUGGGUACAGUAAUCUCUCUCAGCAGGCCAACAGCUUCCAUUCGCAGCACUGGACAAUAGGCUCUUACGCUUUAAGUCUGAAGUGAUGUGUUCUCUUUGAAAUUGCUCAAAAUGACAGACACUGUAGCUAAAUGGCCUCUCCACCUUUGUUCAAGAAGCAGUUUUGAGGCGCUCACCCUUGUGGUGCACAGCUAUUGUGGGCUUCUUACAAUAUUUGUACAAUAUUUGUCAUUAUAUACAGGUCCUUCUCAAAAAAUUUGCAUAUUGUGAAAAAGUUCAUUAUUUUCCAUAAUAUAAUGAUAAAAAUUAAACUUUCAUAUAUUUUAGAUUCAUUGCACACCAACUGAAAUAUUUCAGGUCUUUUAUUGUUUUAAUACUGAUGAUUUUGGCAUACAGCUCAUAAAAACCCAAAAUUCCUAUCUCAAAAAAUUAGCAUAUUUCAUCCGACCAAUAAAGAAAAGGGUUUUUAAUACAAAAAAAGUCAACCUUCAAAUAAUUAUGUUCAGUUAUGCACUCAAUACUUGGUCGGGAAUCCUUUUGCAGAAAUGACUGCUUCAAUGCGGCGUGGCAUGGAGGCAAUCAGCCUGUGGCACUGCUGAGGUGUUAUGGAGGCCCAGGAUGCUUCGAUAGCGGCCUUAAGCUCAUCCAGAGUGUUGGGUCUUGCAUGUUAUUCUCAAUAUGGAUUUAUUUGCCUCCUGAUUUUCUUCCAUGUUCAGAAAACAGG